AGUUUGUAUAAAAUCAUUUCUUUUAUAAACAAGAUGGAAUCCUCAUUAGCUGCGGCACUUGAAUUUCUUUUACGCAGGAUUAGAGUAAAUUAAUC